rnacentral:rRNA from 1 species
AAGCCGUAAGGUGGAGCUAAUCCCUUAAAGCUACUCUCAGUUCGGAUUGUAGGCUGAAACUCGCCUACAUGAAGCUGGAGUUACUAGUAAUCGCAGAUCAGAAUGCUGCGGUGAAUGCGUUCCCGGGUCUUGUACACACCGCCCGUCACACCACGGGAGUUGGAGACGCCCGAAGCCGAUUAUCUAACCUUUUGGAAGAAGUCGUCGAAGGUGGAAUCAAUAACUGGGGUGAAGUCGUAACAAGGUAGCUGUAUCGGAAGGUGCGGCUGGAUCACCUCCUUUCUAAGGAGAAUU